rnacentral:lncRNA from 1 species
GUAUCUUGUAAUGGGAAUGCCUAAUUUUGAAUCUAUAAAGUUAAAGUUCAAGUAUUUGUAAGCAUGUAUUCAGUAAUCCUUUUGUUCUAUUUUCAGUAACUUCUUCUGCUUCUACGAUCUCUGCCAACAUCAAUAGCAUCCGUGUGCUUAACGGCACUAACUAUCAGGAAUGGAAAGAGAACGUCAUGAUCGUUCUCGGUUGCAUGGAUC